rnacentral:rRNA from 1 species
UACGGGGAGGGCAAGCGUUGUUCGGAAUUACUGGGCGUAAAGGGCUCGUAGGUGGCCAACUAAGUCAGACGUGAAAUCCCUCGGCUUAACCGGGGAACUGCGUCUGAUACUGGAUGGCUUGAGUUUGGGAGAGGGACGCGGAAUUCCAGGUGUAGCGGUGAAAUGCGUAGAUAUCUGGAGGAACACCGGUGGCGAAGGCGGCAUCCUGGACCGACACUGGACGCUGAGGCGCGAAAGCUAGGGGAGCAAACGGG